rnacentral:lncRNA from 1 species
GCGGCCUCCCGGGGUCCAGAGCGGCCGGAAGCGUUCGCCAGGGUGAGUAAAGGACUCCAGGGCUGGAGCCCCCGCCUGGCUCUCCGCUCGGGAAUUUAGAUUCGAAAAGAGCUUCCGGAGGUCGCGUCUACGCACUUCUCCACCAGCACUCCCUAAUUCGGCCUCUGGAAACCUAAUAAAAUACAACUGCUUUGGAGUUAGAAGUGAUUUCGGGCCUGGAGCUGGCGUAGACGCGCCCCUCUGAUCCGGUUUGGACGCUUGCGGACACUCGCAGCCGGAGGUGUUCCGCUCGGAGUACGGGAGAGGGCGUGGAGCGCAGCGCGGAGGACAGUUACGCCUCGUUGGUGGAUAACGACGCCCGGGCAAGACACGCUCCCCAGUCGCUAAAAAUGGCCCUAUUCCAAAGCAAAUCGCUGCAGACAAGCAACGGUUCCAUACUGGGGGGGAGGAUGGGGGGAUGUCCCCGCGAACUGCUGGACGGAGGAAGAUAACACGCCAGCGGCGCGAAGUCCGAGACGGGGGUCUGAUGGCGCCGCGGCCUUGCUCCGGGAGCCGCGACUGGCCUGUUCUCUAUUCCACAUCGCUCGUGCUGCCCUCCUUGCCUUCAUCCUGCGUCUCCCACUAGCUGGACCGAUCCAUCUGCCGACACGUUGGCCCAGUUCCAGGCGGCUCCGGGUCCGGGCGCUCUCACGAGCUGCCCCCCCCCAAACCCUCCAACCCCGGAAGCCCCAGACCCCAGGCAUCCUGAAGCCAGCGGCUCGGUUCGGGGGUUAAGGCCCAACGCCCCGCGGGUUUCCCUGAAAUAGCAAACUUCUGCCGGAAGGGGGCGCCCUUGCCUUUUUAAUAGUCCACAAACGCACAUUGGUAGCGAAAUAAAUCUCUAAAAUUCCAAA